GCCAUCGGGUAAUGCCGGGCACUCUGGAAGGACUGCCAUCGACAAGAUGGAGGAAGGUGGGGAGUGACGUCAAGUCAUCAUGGCCCUUAUGUCCAGGGCGACACACGUGCUACAAUGGCCGGCACAACGGGAAGCGAGUUCGCGAGGACGAGCGGAUCCCUCAAAGCCGGUCGCAGUUCGGAUUGAAGUCUGCAACUCGACUUCAUGAAGCUGGAAUCGCUAGUAAUCGUGGAUCAGCCAAGCCGCGGUGAAUACGUUCCCGGGCCUU
rnacentral:rRNA from 1 species